rfam:Rattus norvegicus chromosome 7, whole genome shotgun sequence.
GGAGAUUUGGCUCAGUGGUAGAGCGCUUGCCUAGCAAGCGCAAGGCCCUGGGUUCGGUCCCCAGCUCCA